rnacentral:rRNA from 1 species
AUUGAACGCUGGCGGCAGGCCUAACACAUGCAAGUCGAGCGAGAAAGUUCCUUCGGGAGCGAGUAGAGCGGCGGACGGGUGAGUAACGCGUAGAAAUCUGCCUGGUAGUGGGGGAUAACCCGGGGAAACUCGGGCUAAUACCGCAUACGCCCUACGGGGAAAGUGGGGGACCUUCGGGCCUCACGCUAUCAGAUGAGUCUGCGUCGGAUUAGCUAGUUGGUAGGGUAAGGGCCUACCAAGGCGACGAUCCGUAGCUGGUCUGAGAGGAUGAUCAGCCACACUGGGACUGAGACACGGCCCAGACUCCGUACGGGAGGCAGCAGGUGGGGAAUAUUGGACAAGUGGGGCAACCCUGAUCCAGCCAUGCCGCGUGUGUGAAGAAGGCCCUAGGGUUGUAAAGCACUUUCAGUGGGGAGGAAAUGGCCAAGGUUAAUAGCCUUGGUAGCUGACGUUACCCACAGAAGAAGCACCGGCUAAUUCCGUG